AUUGAACGCUGGCGGCAGGCCUAACACAUGCAAGUCGAGCGGAUGAAGGGAGCUUGCUCCUGGAUUCAGCGGCGGACGGGUGAGUAAUGCCUAGGAAUCUGCCUGGUAGUUGGGGAUAACGUCCGUAAACGGGCGCUAAUACCGCAUACGUCCUGAGGGAGAAAGUGGGGGAUCUUCGGACCUCACGCUAUCAGAUGAGCCUAGGUCGGAUUAGCUAGUUGGUGGGGUAAAGGCCUACCAAGGCGACGAUCCGUAACUGGUCUGAGAGGAUGAUCAGUCACACUGGAACUGAGACACGGUCCAGACUCCUACGGGAGGCAGCAGUGGGGAAUAUUGGACAAUGGGCGAAAGCCUGAUCCAGCCAUGCCGCGUGUGUGAAGAAGGUCUUCGGAUUGUAAAGCACUUUAAGUUGGGAGGAAGGGCAGUAAGUUAAUACCUUGCUGUUUUGACGUUACCAACAGAAUAAGCACCGGCUAACUUCGUG
rnacentral:rRNA from 1 species